rnacentral:tRNA from 1 species
GGAACGGUGGCCGAGUGGUCGAGGCACUUGCUCGUCAAGCAAGACGACGCGGGUUCAAUUCCCGCCCGUUCCG